AGGGCACCACCAGGAGUGGAGCCUGCGGCUUAAUUUGACUCAACACGGGGAAACUUACCCGGCCUGGACACUGGAAGGAUUGACAGAUUGAGAGCUCUUUCUUGAUUCAGUGGGUGGUGGUGCAUGGCCGUUCUUAGUUGGUGGAGCGAUUUGUCUGGUUAAUUCCGAUAACGAACGAGACUCUAGCCUAUUAAAUAGGCUCCCGGCUUUUAAACGCCGGGAGGACUUCUUAGAGGAACAGGUGGCGGUUCAGCCGCACGAAAGAGAGCAAUAACAGGUCUGUGAUGCCCUUUGUUGUCCGGGGCCGCACGCGCGCUACACUGAAGAGAUCAGCGUGCUUUACGUUCCUGCUCCGACCGGAGUGGGGAACCCAGUGAACCUUCUUCGUGAUUGGGAUAGAAGAUUGUAAUUAUUCUUCUUGAACGAGGAAUUCCCAGUAAAUGCGAGUCAUAAGCUCGCGUUGAUUACGUCCCUGCCCUUUGUACACACCGCCCGUCGCUACUACCGAUUGAACGAUUU
rnacentral:rRNA from 1 species